rnacentral:rRNA from 1 species
UACGAAGGGGGCUAGCGUUGUUCGGAAUUACUGGGCGUAAAGGGCGCGUAGGCGGUCUGUUAAGUCGGAUGUGAAAACUCUGGGCUCAACCCAGAGCCUGCAUCCGAAACUGGCAGGCUAGAGCUCUGGAGGGGGUAGCGGAAUUCCUGGUGUAGCGGUGAAAUGCGUAGAUAUCAGGAGGAACACCGGUGGCGAAGGCGGCUACCUGGACAGAAACUGACGCUGAGGCGCGAAAGCUAGGGGAGCAAACAGG